rnacentral:lncRNA from 1 species
GCAUAAUCUUCUAUCAGUCUUGCUUAUAAAUUUUAUACAAAUUUAGAAGUUCUGUAGUCUGAUUUUUGUAGAUUAAAGCUUAAAAAUUAAUAGCUUAUGGCUGUUAAAGAAUUUGAAUAGAGAAGUUCCUGUCGUGGCGCAGUGGUUAACGAAUUUGACUAGGAACCAUGAGGUUGUGGGUUCGAUCCCUGGCCUUGCUCAGUGGGUUGGGGAUCCGGCAUUGCCAUGAGCUNNNNNNNNNNNNNNNNNNNNNNNNNNNNNNNNNNNNNNNNNNNNNNNNNNNNNNNNNNNNNNNNNNNNNNNNNNNNNNNNNNNNNNNNNNNNNNNNNNAGCCAAAAAAAAGGAAAAAAAAAAAAAAAAAAAAAAAAAAAAAAAAGAAUUUGAAUAGAGCAAUGUCUCUUUUUAUCUUUUUAUCUGUUUUAUUCAGGUACCAUAUAAUAGCUUGGCAACUGCCUUUUCCAGGAGUUUGUUACUGUGUGGGUGUUUUUAUUUUUGUAUUUAUCACUUUAUUACUCAUACUUAGCCACACUUAAUACUUUAAAAUAAUGAGCCUUAUUAAGAAAGCACAUUGUAUAAUAAUGCUUAAUUAUUGAACUGAUAUAGCUAAACGAUCACCGUUUUGAAUUAAUGUCAGUGUAUGAUAGAUUUCUUGUUUCUUAAGAUCUCUAACAAAUGAUUUGAAGUUUUCUAGUUCUGCAUUGUUAACUAGGGAUGUUUUUCGAUAUGCUUAAUCUUUAUUUUCAUAAGAGUCAGUGUCUCACCUUUUUUUGUAUAGAAUGUCUGUUUUGUUAAAAGACAUUAUUAAUCAAACAAAGAAUUGAAGCUUACUAGUUUGUGCUGCUUUAGAAUUUUUAGCUAGAAAGGAUGUGAAAGUUAUGCGGAGUAGACAGAGGGCCUAAACAAGCAUAGCAAUAUGUAACUUCAGUAACUUUAACUUCAGUAACUCCCUAGAAUAAUGCCCUGGUGUUUAUGGCGAUGAACUUGGCUAAUUAAGGCAAACAGAAAAGUUAAACAAAAUUUACAUUCUUUAGAAAGGCUAAAAAAAUGUUACCAUUUUUGGAAGUGGAAGAUUUGUAAGUGGAAGAUUUCUUUCACUCGCUGUUGAAUAAAACUAAUUUUAAUACUAAUCAGAUAAGGAUUUUUUUUCCCCAAAUAUUUGAAGCUCUCUGAAGCCCCCUGCUUCUUGUGGAUGAGAGAUUAAAAGCAGAGGAAUCAUCAUUAUUGUGAUAAUAUAGUUUAUUAAAGAACUUUCUCUUACACAGACCACAUGGUUGGCCUCAUCCUCAAACUACUGCUUGCAGUCUCCUUUCUCUCUCGUUAUUAAAUUAGUGACUUUCUGUAUUUUCAGUUUACUUAUUUGAGGAAUAACUGCUCGUACCUGACUCUUCUGAAUUCCACUCCUUCUAUAGAGUGUGCUUGUGAUGUUUUCACCAUAAAGACCAUGUCCCUCUUUCAUACCUGUCUCUCUCACUCCUCAAGAUGUGCCUUCUAAUCCCAGUAUUGACAGUGUAUUUAUAAAGGACAUUAAGCAAUAUAACUUAAUUAUUAAAAGAGAAGGUUUUAAACUGAGUGACACAGUUUGGAUUCUGACCUCAUCACUUUCUGACUGUGUAAUCUUUGGUCAGAUACUUUGCAAUUUAGAAGUGAUAAGACCUCUCCUACGGGCUUGUCAAAUUAAAUUAGCUGGUAUUUGUAAUAUACUUAGUAUAGGGCCUGGCACGGCUACUGUUUAUAUUAUUAUCGUCAAACUCAGCGACUACUUAGUUUGAUUACUUGAUUGUCUAGUUUCCUUGACUAGUUUGUAAACCUGUUGAGAUAAGAAGUUUCUUUUUUUUUUUUUUGUCUUUUUUGCCUUUUCCAGGGCUACACCCGUGACGUAUGGAGGCUCCCAGUCUAGGGGUCUAAUUGGAGCUGUAGCCGUUAGCCUACACCCCAGCCACAGCAAUGCGGGAUCCAAGCCACGUCUACAACCUACACCACAGCUCACGGCAUCACUGCAUCCUUAACCCACUGAGCAAGGCCAGGGAUUGAACCCGAAACCUCAUGGUUCCUAGUUGGAUUCGCAAACCACUGAGCCACGACAGGAACUCCAGGUAUUGUUUUUUGUGUGUGUGUGUGUCUGUCAGUCUUCCUAUCCUGAUACCUGAUGCAAAGAUAUCAUUCUUGUAUCAUUUGUUUCAGUUGUUUGAGACCUUGAAGUCCAGAAGCCUAGUAAUUUUUAUAAUUCUGAUUGGCAUCAAAUUAGAAUUUCACUUGCGAGGGAGCCUGGUGUCUAAGUGUGAGUCACUCACCAAGUGGAGAUGAGCACUUUACUUAGAAUCAUGUGAUGACUACUCUUCUUCCCACCAAGUACGGAGCUCUGCUGUGGUUACUUUGCUUCAUUUUAUAGGUGUUACCCUUUUUUUCCCAAAGUUCAGGAUUUGUGAAUGUCUGGGAGAUAACCUUUAUGCCUCUUAAGGCCCACAGUGCUCAGUAAAUAUUUAUUGACUGAUCGACAGUUCUCCAAGGUGAAGAACAAUUGAACUGUACCUUUACAGAGAACAGCUCAUAGUGAUUGGUUACUUUGACAUUGUCAACAGAGUUUUUUGGACUACUUUCUCUUUGUUUUCCUAAGUCUUCAAUUUUUUUUUUAAUUCAUAUCAUAUGAAAGUUACAUUUAGAAUCAGUUAAAAAAAUGUUUUCCUCUGAGCUUUUACCGUAAGCUUUUCCUAAAGUAUGCUACUUACGGAGUUCCUGUCGUGGCGCAGUGGAAACAAAUCCAACUAGGAACCAUGAGGUUGCAGGUUCGAUCCCUGGCUUCGCUCAGUGGGUUAAGGAUCCGACAUUGCCGUGAGCUGUGGUGUAGGUCGAAGAUGAGGCUCAGAUCUGGUGUUGCUGUGGCUGUGGUGUAGGCCAGCGGCUACAGCUCCGAUUAGACCCCUAGCCUGGGAACCUCCAUAUGCAACGGUGUGGCCCUAAAAAGACAAAAAAUAAAAAAAUAAAAUAAAAAAA